GGCCUUUGUCUUUGUCACUUUGGUAUUUAAAUAUUUUAAACUAAAUGUCAGUAUAACAAUGCCAAUGGUUGACCCCGAACAACUGAAGAUCUUCACAUAUAAUCAAAUAUCACUAUAGCUAUACAGCAUUCAUAGAAUAUUUGUAAUAUUUAUAACAACAUAAAACUUAUGGAGUAUUUCCUAGUUAUAACAUUUUACGAGUAGAAUAUUUUCCAGAGUAAUACGGUUUCUUUUUGCUCUCCUCGUACGCGAAAGUACUAUACUACUAUUUCUUAAUAUUUUUGCGUUCUUUCCAUGCAUAUACAGUGGGGUCAAAAGUCUGAGUCCAGUCAAUAUGCUUUUGCUUUUUAUUGAUAUACGAUAUAUUUUCACACAAUAGAGCAUUACAGAGCAUUAUAUGUGCGUCAAAUAAGGAUUUACAUCAACGUUGGGAUUGAUUAUACUAUAUUAGCCAAGUGAACAUUAUUUUAAUAUUUUGUGUGACCUCCUUUGGAUUUUAAAAUAGCUUUAACUCUUCCUGGCAUAGAUUCAACAAGUGUUCUAAGUACUGCUGGCUUAAAGUUAUUCCAGCAUUGAUUUAUAAGGACAUCCCAUAGGUUUUCUUUACUUGUGGGAUCAUGUUUCACUUUCCCUCGUUUCAAAUGAUCCCAUAAAUUCUCAAUAGGAUUUUAUAGGUCCAGAGAUUGAGGAGGAAAAUCCCUAACAACUAGAUCACAUUUCUCUUGCUUCCUUCUUCAAUAAUUUUUACACAUGUGAGAAGUGUGUUUCGGAUCAUUAUCCCGCGUUGCAAGACAAAUCCCCUUCCACACAACUUUAAGCUAGAUGGUAUGGCUUGUCUUUAAAGGAUGGAGUGAUAUUUUUGUUUCGUAAAAAUUAGUUAAUAAGUAGGGAGCAAGAGAAAGGUGAUCUGGUUGUUAUGGAUUUCCACCUCAACCUCCAGAUCGAAAAUCCUAAAUCCUAUUGAGAAUUUAUGGGAACGUUUCAAACGAGAGAAAGUGAAACAUAAUCCCACAAGUAAAGACAACCAACCUAUGGGAUGUCGUUGAUCAAUAAGACUGGAAUAACCUUAAACCAUCAAUACUAAGAAAACUUGUUGAAUCUAUGGCUAUGGCAGGAAGAAUUGAAGCUGUCUUAAAAUCAAAAGGAGGUCACACAAAAUAUUAAAAUAAUGUUCACAUGGCUAAUAUAGUAUAAUCAAAUCCUUGUUCGACGCACAUAUAGUGGUGUGUUGUUUAAGAAUAUAUUGUAUAUCAAUAAAAGGCAAAAUCAUAUUGACUGGACUCAGACUUUUGACCCCCACUGUAUAUGCAUGUCAAACACAUCUUAGUGUUUUUUUUUUGUGGAUCAUUAAUAAAUGAAUGCCAGUGUAUGAUAUUUACGCGUGUGACUGAUUUUGUGACUGUCAUUUUAGCAUUGGAGGCAGUUCGAAUACUUCAGGAGUAUUACAGUAUAAAAGAAGUAUUCUUUGACUUUGGUUAUUUUUGCAAUUGAUCGCGAUAUAUCGACAAACUAUAGUUAGUAUAACAACCUAUAUAGUAAACAUGAUAAACAUUUAUAUCGAUAAAUUAGUGAUUGGGAUUGGCUGUUCAAAAUUAGAAUUGCAAACUAGCAAAAAUGUGUAGGAGUGAGCACAGACGUUUGUGGAAGUGACGUGGGAGUGCAAUAUGUCACGAACAUUUGUUAUUAAAUGCCAUGCAUAUAGGGUAAAUCCCCUUGCAUAUUUAA